rnacentral:rRNA from 1 species
UGCGCAGGCGGUUUGCUAAGACAGGUGUGAAAUCCCCGGGCUUAACCUGGGAACUGCGCUUGUAACUGGCAAGCUAGAGUGUGGCAGAGGGGGGUGGAAUUCCAGGUGUAGCAGUGAAAUGCGUAGAGAUCUGGAGGAACACCGAUGGCGAAGGCAGCCCCCUGGGCUAACACUGACGCUCAUGCACGAAAGGCUGGGAGCAAACA